GUUGUGGGGUUAAGCGACUAAGCGUACACGGUGGAUGCCCUGGCAGUCAGAGGCGAUGAAGGACGUGCUAAUCUGCGAUAAGCGUCGGUAAGGUGAUAUGAACCGUUAUAACCGGCGAUUUCCGAAUGGGGAAACCCAGUGUGUUUCGACACACUAUCAUUAACUGAAUCCAUAGGUUAAUGAGGCGAACCGGGGGGAACUGAAACAUCUAAGUACCCCGAGGAAAAGAAAUCAACCGAGAUUCCCCCAGUAGCGGCGAGCGAACGGGGAGCAGCCCAGAGCCUGAAUCAGUGUGUGUGUUAGUGGAAGCGUCUGGAAAGGCGCGCGAUACAGGGUGACAGCCCCGUACACAAAAAUGCACAUGCUGUGAGCUCGAUGAGUAGGGCGGGACACGUGGUAUCCUGUCUGAAUAUGGGGGGGACCAUCCUCCAAGGCUAAAUACUCCUGACUGACCGAUAGUGAACCAGUACCGUGAGGGAAAGGCGAAAAGAACCCCGGCGAGGGGAGUGAAAAAGAACCUGAAACCGUGUACGUACAAGCAGUGGGAGCACGCUUCGGCGUGUGACUGCGUACCUUUUGUAUAAUGGGUCAGCGACUUAUAUUCUGUAGCAAGGUUAACCGAAUAGGGGAGCCGAAGGGAAACCGAGUCUUAACUGGGCGUUAAGUUGCAGGGUAUAGACCCGAAACCCGGUGAUUCAGCCAUGGGCAGGUUGAAGGUUGGGUAACACUAACUGGAGGACCGAACCGACUAAUGUUGAAAAAUUAGCGGAUGACUUGUGGCUGGGGGUGAAAGGCCAAUCAAACCGGGAGAUAGCUGGUUCUCCCCGAAAGCUAUUUAGGUAGCGCCUCGUGAAUUCAUCUCCGGGGGUAGAGCACUGUUUCGGCAAGGGGGUCAUCCCGACUUACCAACCCGAUGCAAACUGCGAAUACCGGAGAAUGUUAUCACGGGAGACACACGGCGGGUGCUAACGUCCGUCGUGAAGAGGGAAACAACCCAGACCGCCAGCUAAGGUCCCAAAGUCAUGGUUAAGUGGGAAACGAUGUGGGAAGGCCCAGACAGCCAGGAUGUUGGCUUAGAAGCAGCCAUCAUUUAAAGAAAGCGUAAUAGCUCACUGGUCGAGUCGGCCUGCGCGGAAGAUGUAACGGGGCUAAACCAUGCACCGAAGCUGCGGCAGCGACGCUGAUGCGUUGUUGGGUAGGGGAGCGUUCUGUAAGCCUGUGAAGGUGUGCUGUGAGGCAUGCUGGAGGUAUCAGAAGUGCGAAUGCUGACAUAAGUAACGAUAAAGCGGGUGAAAAGCCCGCUCGCCGGAAGACCAAGGGUUCCUGUCCAACGUUAAUCGGGGCAGGGUGAGUCGACCCCAAGGCGAGGCCGAAAGGCGUAGUCGAUGGGAAACAGGUUAAUAUUCCUGUACUUGGUGUUACUGCGAAGGGGGACGGAGAAGGCUAUGUUGGCCGGGCGACGGUUGUCCCGGUUUAAGCGUGUAGGCUGGUUUUCCGUGCAAAUCCGGAAAAUCAAGGCUGAGGCGUGAUGACGAGGCACUACGGUGCUGAAGCAACAAAUGCCCUGCUUCCGUGAAAAAGCCUCUAAGCAUCAGGUAACAUCAAAUCGUACCCCAAACCGACACAGGUGGUCAGGUAGAGAAUACCAAGGCGCUUGAGAGAACUCGGGUGAAGGAACUAGGCAAAAUGGUGCCGUAACUUCGGGAGAAGGCACGCUGAUAUGUAGGUGAAGUCCCUCGCGGAUGGAGCUGAAAUCAGUCGAAGAUACCAGCUGGCUGCAACUGUUUAUUAAAAACACAGCACUGUGCAAACACGAAAGUGGACGUAUACGGUGUGACGCCUGCCCGGUGCCGGAAGGUUAAUUGAUGGGGUCAGCGCAAGCGAAGCUCUUGAUCGAAGCCCCGGUAAACGGCGGCCGUAACUAUAACGGUCCUAAGGUAGCGAAAUUCCUUGUCGGGUAAGUUCCGACCUGCACGAAUGGCGUAAUGAUGGCCAGGCUGUCUCCACCCGAGACUCAGUGAAAUUGAACUCGCUGUGAAGAUGCAGUGUACCCGCGGCAAGACGGAAAGACCCCGUGAACCUUUACUAUAGCUUGACACUGAACAUUGAGCCUUGAUGUGUAGGAUAGGUGGGAGGCUUUGAAGUGUGGACGCCAGUCUGCAUGGAGCCGACCUUGAAAUACCACCCUUUAAUGUUUGAUGUUCUAACGUUGACCCGUAAUCCGGGUUGCGGACAGUGUCUGGUGGGUAGUUUGACUGGGGCGGUCUCCUCCUAAAGAGUAACGGAGGAGCACGAAGGUUGGCUAAUCCUGGUCGGACAUCAGGAGGUUAGUGCAAUGGCAUAAGCCAGCUUGACUGCGAGCGUGACGGCGCGAGCAGGUGCGAAAGCAGGUCAUAGUGAUCCGGUGGUUCUGAAUGGAAGGGCCAUCGCUCAACGGAUAAAAGGUACUCCGGGGAUAACAGGCUGAUACCGCCCAAGAGUUCAUAUCGACGGCGGUGUUUGGCACCUCGAUGUCGGCUCAUCACAUCCUGGGGCUGAAGUAGGUCCCAAGGGUAUGGCUGUUCGCCAUUUAAAGUGGUACGCGAGCUGGGUUUAGAACGUCGUGAGACAGUUCGGUCCCUAUCUGCCGUGGGCGCUGGAGAACUGAGGGGGGCUGCUCCUAGUACGAGAGGACCGGAGUGGACGCAUCACUGGUGUUCGGGUUGUCAUGCCAAUGGCACUGCCCGGUAGCUAAAUGCGGAAGAGAUAAGUGCUGAAAGCAUCUAAGCACGAAACUUGCCCCGAGAUGAGUUCUCCCUGACUCCUUGAGAGUCCUGAAGGAACGUUGAAGACGACGACGUUGAUAGGCCGGGUGUGUAAGCGCAGCGAUGCGUUGAGCUAACCGGUACUAAUGAACCGUGAGGCUUAACCUUACAACGCCGAAGCUGUU
rnacentral:rRNA from 1 species